rnacentral:rRNA from 1 species
GGCGAGAAAAACGAAAGCUGCCAGGUGGAUGACUUGGCUCACGAGCCGACGAAGGACGCGACAAGCUGCGAUAAGCCCCGGGGAUCCGCACGUGGGAAUUGAUCCGGGGAUUUCCUAAUAGGACGUCCAGCCCCUUCGGGGGCGCUCCGUGAGGAGCGGGAACGCAGGGAAUUGAAACAUCUGAGUACCUGCAGGAAAAGAAACCAACAGGGAUGCCGUCAGUAACAGCGAGUGAAGGCGGCACAGGGCAAACUGAAUCCCUCGCCGAAAGGCGAUGGAGAUGUGGUGUUGCCGGGCCUCCCAUCAGCGCCGCUGCUUGGAAACUCGAAGUCCCCUGGAAAGGGGCGCGAUACAGGGUGAGAGCCCCGUAGAGGUAACUGAGCGUGGCGUGGGAGAGUCCCAGAGUACCGCACAUCGGGUAUUGUGCGGGAAGCCGGGGGACAACAACCCCCAACCCUAAACACUACGUGAGUCCGAUAGCGCAUAGUACUGUGGAGGAACGUUGAAAAGCAUCCUUACCGGGAAGUGCAAAGACCCUGAAGCCUGGCAGCCAUGGAUUGUCGCGGCGCUUCGGUGUUGCGACGUCCGUUUUGAAUAACGUGCCAGGGAGUGUAUUUCUGUGGCGAGGAUAACCCCACAAGGGGCAUCCGCAGGGAAACCGACAAGCCCGCAGCUUGCGAGGGGCGGGGUGUGAAAGCGCCCGGAGUCACAGGGAUACGACCCGAAGCCGGACGAUCUAUCCCACGGCAUGGUGAAGCGGGGGUAAAACCUCGUGGAGGCCAGAAGAGGUCUUGGGUACAACCACUCUCUUGACCGGGGGAUAGGGGUAAAAUGCUAAUCGAGUCCGGCGAUAGCUGGUUCCUGCCGAAAUGGGCCGCAGUCCAGCCUCGGCGGAGAUGGCCUGGGCGGUAGAGCUACGGAUAGGGAGCUUAGGGUGAGAAAUCGCUCGGCUCUCUGUCCAACUCCAAACGCCCAGGCGUCGUAGAUGCCGAGGAACGGGAGUACUUGGGGUAAACUUGUACUCCGAGAGGGGAACAACCCUGACCAAAGUUAAGGUCCCUAAUGCCGUCUCAGUGUUAAAGGGAGAAGAGUGUCCGCAUCCUAAGACAGCAAGGAGGUUGGCUUAGAAGCAGCAAUCCUUCAAAAAGUGCGUAACAGCUUACUUGUCAAGGAUACGGGCCUUGAAAAUGGACGGGGCUAAGGCGGCUACCGAGACUUUGGACGCUCGAAAGAGUUGUGGUAGGCAGGCGCGCUGGCAGGGCAGAAGCUUUCCCGUAAGGGGAAGUGGACCUGACAGCGACGAGAAUCCUGGCGGUAGUAGGAUCUGAGCACGGUGAGACUCCGUGUCAUCGUAAGGGCAAGGGUUCCUCUGACAAUGCAAAUCAGUCGAGGGUUAGUUGGUCCUAACCGCAUUCCUAACAGGUCGUGCGGGAACGGGAAACCGGUUAAUAUUCCGGUACUCUCCCGGUAUACGGCAACGAAAGGCUGGCCACCAACGCAUCCGGAUAGGUGCGCCCGGGCCGUCGCCCGGGUCAAAUGCGGCACAUCCGUGGAGUAUCAUAAUGAUGAGAAGCGGAUGAACUGCAUGACGAGCCUCCGCAAGGGGGUCGCGCUGAUGCCUGGUGCCCGUGAAAAGGGGGCCGGCAGAGAUCCGGGAGAACCAUACCCAGCACCAGCACAGGUGCCCCUAGGUGAAAAGCCUCAGAUGUGAAGGCAGAAUCCGGGUUAGGGAAAUCGGCAAAUUAGCCCUGUAGCUUCGGCUUAAGGGGUCCCUGCGCUCGUGUCCGCAUGGGCGCGAGUACAGGGCGCAGUGACAAGGCGGGUCCGACUGUUUAACAAAAACAUAGCCUUGUGCUAUCCCGCAAGGGUUUGUAUACAAGGUGAGGUCUGCCCACUGCCCGCACUUCAAACUCCUUUCCAAGGGAGCUAAGAACGGGUAAAGGGCGGGAGUAACUAUAACUCUCUUAAGGUAGCGAAAUACCUUGUCGUUUGAAUGACGACGUGCAUGAAUGGCUUAACGAGAUCCGCGCUGUCCCGACCUGGACGCCUCCGAACACACUUUUCUGGUGUGAAGGCCAGAGAUCUCCAGUGGGAAGUGAAGACCCCGUGAAACUUUACUGCAACCUGUUGCGGCGACGUGGGUUGUGCUGUGUAGCGUAGGUGGGAGUUGCUGAAGCGUGAUCGUCAGAUUGCGCCUAGACGCCGAUGAAACACCACUCUGCAUGGUCUAUGCCGCUCACCCGUGGCGAAGAGCUGCGGGGACAACGACAGGCGGACAGUUUGGCUGGGGUGGCACGCCGCUGAAAAGGUAUCAGUGGCGCCCAAAGGUUGACUCACGCGGGUCAGAAAUCCGCGGUGGAGUGCAAGGGCAUAAGUCAGCCUGACUGGGUCGCACACAUGAAGCGACCCAGGGCGGAAACGCGGGCCUAGCGAACCUCUAUGUCCUCUUUGCUGGGGGCUAGAGAUGACCGAAAAGUUACUCCGGGGAUAACAGAGUCGUCUCGCCCGAGAGUUCACAUCGACGGCGAGGCUUGCUACAUCGAUGUCGGCUCUUCCUAUCCUGGCCGUGCAGAAGCGGCCAAGGGUGGGGGUGUUCACCCAUUAAAAGGGAUCGCGAGCUGGGUUCAGAACGCUGUGAGGCAGUUUGUUUAAUAUCUACUGGAGAUGUUGGAUGUCUGAGGGGAAGGGUCCUUUAGUACGAGAGGAACAAGGGCUCGGCGCCUCUGGUCGACCAGUUGUCCGACAGGGCAGGCUGGGCAGCUACGCGCUAAGGGAUAAGAGCUGAACGCAUCUAAGCUCGAAACCCGCCUCGAAAAGAGACAUCCUAGGACACCCGUAGAACACGGGUUUAAUGGGAGCGGGGUGUACGCACGAAGCCUCGGCGACGUGUUCAGCCCGCGCUUCCCAACAGUCCGUAUCUUUCUCGCC